ACAGGGGUAGCCAGGUAGGUACAGAUUGAAAAAUUAUUAUUUUCAUUAUUAUUCAUUAUUAGAUUUUUUUUAAGAGAUUUUAAAUUUUUUUUCAGUUGGUUGACGAUAGCCUCAGCUGGAAGUUACAUUUUUAUGCAUUUAUUUAUUAAAUACGCAGCAUUCAUAUUAGCUGAAUGAUGCGCUAUCUGACGCAUUAUUGUCACAACUCAUUUUGGAAUUGUCAGCCGUUAAUACAAAGCACAAUGAUAACUAUCGAUAGUUUUGACAUCUUUAGAUCACAAACAAAACAGGUGGCUUUCAAACAAGUGCAAAAAUUAUGUUUACAUGUUUACAAGUUUACAAGUGCAAAAUUUAUGGAUAUAAGAAAUUUUCUUCAAAAAGGUAAGUAUUAAAUGGGUUAUAAACUUUUGAUUGUCUACUAUUGCUAUUACUUUCGAGGUAUCUCUUCUGUUAAGAGGAAACAUGUUCGUGACAGCAGCAGUGGAAGUGAAGAAGUUAUUGUGAGCGCUUGUUCAUCACAAUCGGCUGUGCCUGUUGCUGAGGCGCAAGCAAAUAAAGCUUCUUCUGUGGAAAUAGAUGUCACUGAGGAAUGCCAUGUAAAUGAUGUGGGCCGCUAUGUUGGGCGAGCUUCGCAGCUGUCUGUCGAAAAAAAAGGAGAUUCUACUUCGUCUGUGGGUUCCAAAUGCUGCCUAUGAUUUUAAAACUGAUGCAAAAGCUUUGCAAAGAAAAUUCAACCAUGGGUGGUUGGAUAUAUAUGCGCCGUGGUUGGUAUAUUCCAAGCGGUUGAAAGGUGCACUGUGUAAGUACUGUGUGCUGUUUCCGCCUGUUCCUGUUUUAAAAAAAAUGCACGAGUUCUCCAAAAAGCAUUCUCACACAAGUCUCCACAUUGCUGCAUCAGCUUCAGCGAAGGCUUUAAUUGAAAAUGUGCCCGUUGACGUACAAUUGAAAACACACCAUAUGAAAACUAUGGAAGAUAAUAGAAAUAUUAUAAAAUCUAUUAUUUCAUGUGUGUUAUUUUGCGGCACACACGACAUGCCUCUCAGGGGCAGAAAUUCCGACGAGGGCGUUCUUCUAGACUUAAUAAACUUACGAAUCGCUUCAGGCGACUCAAAGCUAAAAGAACAAAUGACAUCAUACAAAUUCAAAAUGACAUCAUAUACAUUUUCGGAGAAAUUAUUAAAGAACUUAUUGUGAAUGAUAUAAAAACAACAAAUCCUUACACCGUCUUAGCAGAUGAAACUGCUGAUAUAUCAAGCAAUUUUAAGAAGAAAAUAUACCCGCGCAGAAUAUUUUCAUUGCUCCAGCCAUAAACUGAACCUGGUUGUCAAUGCUACAAAUACGGUUCCAGAAAUAAGAAAUGCCAUAUCAACAACAAAGGACGUUAUAAACUUUUUUAGCGAAUCAACCACGCGAAGGAACUGAGUGCCUACUAUAUCACGUUUGUGUGAAACCAGAUGGUCAGAAAAAUAUAAGGCAGUAAGAAAGUUUUCUGAAAAUUUUCCUGAAAUUGUUGAAGGACUGAAAAAAUUAUCCAUAGAUGGAAACUAUAGCACAAGAAAGAGUGCAUACCAGCUUCAUUCAUCGGUGAUUAUCGUUUCCCUAAUGAUAUUUGCAAAAUACUCUGCAUUACUGCAAUUGAUAUGAUUGCAGUAGGUGAGCAUAUUCUAAUGAAAUAACAAAAUUAUAUUUGUAAAGUUGGAAUGUUUGCAGAAUACUUAUUUUUUGUUUGUUUAAUAGGUGAGCAUAUUGAAAAAAAUAUUGAGGUAAUUGAAAACGAUCGUAGCAAUGCAGAGCAAGUAACGAAUGAACUCCUUGCACAAGUGCGAAGAGUUGCAACUGCUAUCUUUACCGCGUUUAGCUGUAAAACAAAAACAUAGGAGCAAUCCUCCAUCAAACAACGAAGAUGAGUACUGGCGACGCUGUAUUGUGAUUCCAUAUCUUGACUCCUUAACAGCUUCGUUUAAAAUAAGAUUUGCCCGUGAAAAAACUCCAGCAUUUGCGCUAUCUCGGUUGCAUCCAUUGUAUAUGCUCAAAAGUUCAAUUGAAGCCGUUUUUGAAAACUCGAAACUAUUCGAAAAGCUUUACGAUUUAGAUGUCAGCAAUGAAUUGAAACUUUGGUACAAUUUAUGGAAGAAUAAAAAUUUAUCAGAAAUGGAAUUAAGAGAAAUUGAAGUUGUUGAAUUGAUCAAACAGGCAGAUGAAUUUUACCCUUCAAUUCGAAAAGCUCUCAAAAUAUUAUGUACAUUACCAUGCACUACAGCAACGGUGGAGCGUUCAUUUAGUACGCUAAGGAGAUUUAAAACUUGGCUUCGGAGCACGAUGGGAGAAGAGAGAUUAUCUGGAUUAUGAGCGUGCAUCGCACAUUUGUGAAAGAACAUCAACAGCCCAUUUAAGAAAAAAUCAUCAAUAAAUUUUCAGAAAAUCCUAGACGUCUACUACUUGCAUAAAAAUUUGUAAGUUAAAAAAAAAAUUGAAAUAGAAUAUUUGCCAGAAAUAAAUUGUAUAAAUAAAUCAUAAAAGUAACCGUAGUAUUGUCCAAGCGCACAUUCCCUUAACGAAUUCUCCGUAUUUUACAAAAAUUCCAAUGUAAUAAAGCGUAUCCAAAUAGAGGGUUUCGAGUUAAUAUCCGAAAAAGUGUGAAGUCAAAUUUUUAUAUAAAACAUCGACAUAAAACAUCGUUGAAAGUGACAUCGAUGCAUCGAAAUUUUUAGAUUCAAGACAUCAAUGGCUAACAUCGAUGAUUUUUGACGAAAACAUCAAUGUUUCAAAAACAUCGAUACAUGGUUUGCAUCCCUAAUGCCACAACGAACUAAAUUACCUGUCAGGAAAGCGAAAGAAAUAUAUUCAUUGCGAAAAAAAAUUUCAAGAUGAGUUUAGAAUUCGAGAAAAAUUAUGGAAAUUGGUCCGGCCCAAGUGGCACUUUUGUGGAGCGACGAAACAAAAAUUAAUUUGUUCGAGAAAGAUGCCAGACGAAGUGUAGUAGGCGGACGGACAAAACCGAAGAAAAAAAGAAGUGCAUAGUAAAAUAAUAAUGAAUAUAUGCGCAAACGAAAAAGAAUUUAUUUUAAAUUUCAUUCAGACUUGUCAAUAUACCAUAUGAUAAUCGUGAGUUAUUUCGGUUAAUAUUCGGUUUUAGGUUUGUUUUACCUUAAUGCUCCUAUAUUUUUGAAUAAAAGUACUAUAUGCUAUACUGCUUUUUUAAAAAAUAUUUUUUUUUUUUCAAUUGUACCUAGUAUACAAUGAUUAAAUACUAACAACAAUUAAAUUCUAAUAACUUAAAAAUAAUAGCUGUCAUCGAUUGGCUAACUGCUAUAGACAAGCCAAUCGAACAAACUUUCCAAAUUUUCAUACGAACUGGCAGCACUUAAAUCGAAUUGUCUAUACUUGGAGGAUGGGAUCAUGUGUAGAAGUUCACGUAAGUGAGGAAAGUUUUUGAUUGUCAUUCACUUGGGAGUGGCCAGAAACGACUCUUCUCCACAUGAUUCAAGCACGAUCACGACUUUCUGUUUUAGACCAAGUAUCCUCUGGGUAGCUAACAAACAUCCGUUUGAAGGCGAGCUAAAGUGAGAAGACGAACCCGCCACAUAAAAACUAAGUACCAAUGACAAAUCGAAGAAAGCCUCGGAUGAGACACCCCCCUUUUGAUGACGACCCCUGCAAACGUUUUAAGGAUAAUGAUUUAAGGGCAUGCAUCUGGAAUGAACGGACCCUUAAUUGGCAAGGUGCCUCUGCCCAGGUGGUUGAUGUCUUCAUACGACUAAAGGCUGAUAUCACCGCCAUCUAAGAAGUGCGAUGGACGGGACAAGGACGGAAGACGGUGGGUGCUUGUGACAUCUACUACAGCGGCCAUAUAAAGGAGCGCAAAUUUGGUGUUGGAUUUGUGGUGGGAGAGAGACUCCGUCGCCGAGUCCUGGCAUUCACCCCGGUGGAUUAACGUCUAGCCACAAUCCGCAUAAAAGCGAGGUUCUUCAACAUAUCGCUGAUUUGCGCCCACGCUCCAACGGAAGAGAAGGAUGAUGUGACCAAAGAUACUUUCUAUGAGCGCCUAGAACGCACCGACAAGUGCUGCUCCCGCCACGAUGUCAAAAUCGUGCUUGGCGAUGUCAACGCUAGCUUGAGAAGCUGGCAGACAGAGGGCAUACUGGGAUUAUGGAGGGAACACUUCUCCGGCCUGCUGAAUGGCAGUGAAAGUACAACACCAGGAGAUGGCGAACCCGAUUCUCCAAUCGAUGACGAUGGAUUUUUGUCGAUUUUAAAGCUGCUUUCGACAGCACGAAAAGGAGCUGCCUUUACGCCGCGAUGUCUGAGUUUGUUAUCUCCGCAAAACCAAUACGGCUGUGUAAGUUGACGUUGAGCAACACCAAAAGCUCCGUCAUGAUUGGGAAAGACCUCUCCGAGCCGUUCGAUACCAAACGAGGUUUCAGACAAGGCGACUCACUAUCGUCGACAUUGACAUAGUUCAGCGAAUAAAAAGACAGUGGCUACGCUGGCUAGGUCAUGUUGUCCGAAUGGACGAAAACACUCCAGCUCCGAAAGUGUUCGAUGCAGUACCCGCCGGAGGAAGCCGAGGAAGGGGAAGGCCUCCACUCCGUUGGAGGGACCAGGUGGAGAGCGACAUGGUUACACUUGGGAUCUCCAACUGGCGCCGAACUGCGAAGGAAAGAGAGGAGUGGCGCGCUCUCAUCGAUUCGGCUAUAACCGGCUAAACGGUUCAACGCCAAUUACAUACAUUCAUAUACUUGGUCGCACUAAACUCUUCUUCCAUGUCUUUUUUUCUGCAACAAAUUUUAUUUUUAUUAAAGUUUUUUAUUCAAUAAAUUCAAUACAAAGAUAUUUAGGAUUUAUCUUCGCGUGCCAUUUUCAGUUUCAAAUUUGUGUAUAAUAAUUUUUAUUAUUUUGACAGUAAUUUGUCCUUUGAGUCGUUCACAAUAGUAAAAUGGUUCAAAAAUGUGUAAAACAAAAUUUGGCAGCACUCAGCAAGCGGUGAUAGAAUUUUUAAUGAGGUAUUCGCAUACUCUUCUGCACGAAUUCAACUAGAUAACUUUGUUGUUGCUUUCACAUGUAAAAUUUUUGACAGGCGAGCAGAGAAGUGAUCAAUCGAUGGCAGCUAAUAAUUAAAAGCUAAAUGUUAGAGAAAUUCCUUUGCUGCUACAGUUGCCUUGCUAAGUCUGAAGGCCUCUUAAGUUUCAGUCGGUUUUCUCGUUCAGCAGUACCGAUGAGUCUGGAUGCUUCUUCAUUUGCUUGCUGUAUAAGCCUCAUUUCGUGACUCAUUGCAAGUUUGGUUAUUUCGUUUACUAUUGAAUUCACACCAAGAUCACGGUGAAUGUCAGCAGAUGUAAUAGCCCUGACAGAUGGCAGCGUUAAUUCGGAAUAACUGCUUUAAUCGGGGUUAAUUCGAGAGUUAUCUCAGUUAACUCCGUUUGCUAACUCCCAUUUAAUUCUAAAAUUUUUAGAGAGUUAGUGGGAGUUCGUGGCAUUUUCGUUGGCAGCAUUGUUAAACAUGCCCGCUUUUUAUAUAUUGUGAAUGAAAAUAUGCAAUGCUGACAGCUGCAUAGCAUACACAUGCUAAUUUUUUCUAAAAUGGAAUUUCUAAUAAUAACGUAUUUAUGUAUAUUUGUUUAAUAAUUAGUGAUUUUGUACUAGUUGUGCGGCUAACAACCGCAAUAUUUGCUUUCUAUCCAAUUUUAUUUCACCAAAAUGGAAAUAUUAUUGCCAAUCAGCUGUUAUGGGAGUUUAUAACUCGCUUUGCUGCCGUCUGUCACCCACAAAAUUGGAACUGAUUAAAAGCGCAGUUAAUCGGGAAUAACUCUGCCGUCUGUCUAGCCUAUAACAUACCAAGGAGCAUUAACUAUAAUUAUUAGUACCUUUUUUUUGGAAGCGCUGAAUGCAGGCAAUACAGUUUUGACUUGAGCAACCCCAUAGUUGAGCUCCAUAGGCCCAAAGUGGCUUUAGUACUUGAUUACAGUACUUUUCGUUUAAUUGCACAUCAAAUUUUGCACAAAUUUUCGUUCAAUUAACCGGGGAAUCAAUUAUCAGAUACUCCCGUAAUUGAACAAUUUGUUCAAUAAAAAAAUCCCGUUUGAAUGAAUUUGUUCAAUUACUGGAAUCACGCUUAUAUUUGUUGAAUUAAGCGAUUACGUUGGAAUCAAAAUUUGAAAGUUUUUUGUCUUAUUAAAUUGUACAAUAUUGAAAUAUUAUCUAAAAGUAUGAAAUCGAUAUGAUUAAAAUUUCAAGAAUGUAAAACUUUUAACGGAUUAUCUCAAAACUUGAAUUUUGAAGUCAGUGGACACGAUUUCUUGAAAAGUUAUAAAGCGAUUCUAUUGAAAAAUUUCCACACAUCUUUAUUACAACUAUUUUUCGAGUCAGUAUAUGGCGAAAAUUUGACCACAAAUGUUAGUUUUUUUGUUCAAAAUCUAUCAAGAAUUAAGUUUUUAAUCUUUUCUUUUUUUCCUUCGUUCAUUAACAACAAAUAUUUAUGGUUCGUAGAUUUGGAUGAACCAAUAAUGAGUUAUGAUGUCCACUGCAAGAACCUUUUUUGGACACUUCAUGGAAGAUGAGGUAACAACGUCUAAGCUUUCGGAAUUUCUAAAUAUUAAUUUCAUAAAAUACUGUUUAAAUAUCUAUGUAUCUAUUUAUGUACAUAUGUACAUAUAUAUAUUUGUUAUUCAAAUUUAUUAUUGAAAAAUUAUACAGUGUUGAUUAGAAGA